rnacentral:tRNA from 2 species
GGCCUUGUGGUCUAGUGGUAUGAUUCUCGCUUAGGGUGCGAGAGGUCCCAGAUUCGAUCUCCGGCAAGGCCC